CCAACAAAAACCUUAAUUGGAUUAAUUAUAUCUAUUACAACCAACAGCGCUUCGUGAACUACACCAGGGAUGCCCUCCAGGGCUUGGCCGAGCAAUUACAGGCCACAUCCCAAAUGACCUUCCAGAACAGACUGGCCUUAGACAUGAUCUUAUGACUUGUUGCACUUACAUUCCAGAAAACACAGGUCCUAAUGGUAAAGUCACUCUGGCCAUAGCUAAAUUAAAUAGACUCUCAGAAGAGUUAAAGAGAAACUCUGGUGUUACUGAUCCCUGGGAAAAAUGGUUUGGUUGGAUGACUGGUUGGCAGAGAGCUUUAGUCCAGAUUGGUAUUGCCUUACUAAUUUUUCUUUUUAUUCUCGCUCUUCUCAUUUGUUGUGUCCUCCCAUGCCUAAGGAAAUUCCUGCAGAAAACUGUAGACCAAGCAACACCAACCUUCACUCAUCUGACAAUCGAUGAUCAAGACCUCAAACUCUCCGCUACAAACUCUCCCUUAUACUGAUGAAGUGCAGAAAGUCUAGGAAGGGACAGUACAGGGACAGCGUCCGUCUUUAUGGG